UUUAUGGAGAGUUUGAUCCUGGCUCAGGACGAACGCUGGCGGCGUGCCUAAUACAUGCAAGUCGAGCGGACAAUUGAGAGCUUGCUCUCAAUUGUUAGCGGCGGACGGGUGAGUAACACGUGGGCAACCUGCCCUGUAGACUGGGAUAACUUCGGGAAACCGAAGCUAAUACCGGAUAAUCUUUUGAGUCACAUGGCUCGAAAGUAAAAGUUGGGUUUACCUAACACUACAGGAUGGGCCCGCGGCGCAUUAGCUAGUUGGUAAGGUAAUGGCUUACCAAGGCGACGAUGCGUAGCCGACCUGAGAGGGUGAUCGGCCACACUGGGACUGAGACACGGCCCAGACUCCUACGGGAGGCAGCAGUAGGGAAUCUUCCGCAAUGGACGAAAGUCUGACGGAGCAACGCCGCGUGAACGAUGAAGGCCUUCGGGUCGUAAAGUUCUGUUGUUAGGGAAGAACAAGUACCGUUCAAAUAGGGCGGUACCUUGACGGUACCUAACCAGAAAGCCACGGCUAACUACGUGCCAGCAGCCGCGGUAAUACGUAGGUGGCAAGCGUUGUCCGGAAUUAUUGGGCGUAAAGCGCGCGCAGGCGGUCUCUUAAGUCUGAUGUGAAAGCCCACGGCUCAACCGUGGAGGGUCAUUGGAAACUGGGAGACUUGAGUGCAGAAGAGGAGAGUGGAAUUCCAUGUGUAGCGGUGAAAUGCGUAGAUAUAUGGAGGAACACCAGUGGCGAAGGCGACUCUCUGGUCUGUAACUGACGCUGAGGCGCGAAGCGUGGGGAGCAAACAGGAUUAGAUACCCUGGUAGUCCACGCCGUAAACGAUGAGUGCUAGGUGUUAGGGGUUUCGAUGCCCUUAGUGCCGAAGUUAACACAUUAAGCACUCCGCCUGGGGAGUACGACCGCAAGGUUGAAACUCAAAGGAAUUGACGGGGGCCCGCACAAGCAGUGGAGCAUGUGGUUUAAUUCGAAGCAACGCGAAGAACCUUACCAGGUCUUGACAAUCCUUUGACAACCCUAGAGAUAGGGCUUUCCCCUUCGGGGGACAAAGUGACAGGUGGUGCAUGGUUGUCGUCAGCCUCGUGUCGUGAGAUGUUGGGUUAAGUCCCGCAACGAGCGCAACCCUUGAUCUUAGUUGCCAGCAUUCAGUUGGGCACUCUAAGGUGACUGCCGGCGUGACAAACAGGAGGAAGGUGGGGAUUAAGGACAGUCAAAUCAUCAUGCCCUUAUGACCUGGGCUACACACGUGCUACAAUGGAUGGUAUCAACAGGGCAGCAAAACCGCGGAGGUUGAGCCAAUCCCAUAAAGCCAUUCUCAUUUCGGAUUGUAGGCUGCAAACUCGCCUACAUGAAGCCGGAAUUGCUAGUAAUCGCGGAUCAGCAUGCCGCGGUGAGAUACGUUCCCGGGCCUUGUACACACCGCCCGUCACACCCACGAGAGUUUGUAACACCCGAAGUCGGUGGGGUAACCUUUAUGGAGCCAGCCGCCCUAAGGUUNUGGCCCACAGAUGAUUGGNGUGAAGUCGUAACAAGGUAGCCGUAUCGGAAGGUGCGGCUGGAUCNCUCCUUUCUA
rnacentral:rRNA from 1 species